GAUUAUCCUGGCUCCUGCAGUCACUGCUUCAGCUCCUAGAGCCAGCCAUCCCUUCCAAGAGCCCUUUUUAUAGAGAAUGGCCUAAAAAAACUAAUGUACCAUGGGAACUAAAUCUGCUCAGAUUGAAGAGGAAAACUGACCAGAGCAGGCCCACGCCAGGAGGCCCCGGAAGACAGAAAGUUGCUAACAAGAAUCUAGAGACAACCAGAAACCCUACUGCGAGCAAGUGACUCCACCCCACUGAACCUCAUCUGUAUUCCCCAACCUCAUCAUAUGGCGUCCAAACGUGGGACUUUGAGUCUUUACAUCCGGACUCUGAGCUUCAGUGCAAAAUUGGUGAGUACUUUCUCUCCUCUACCUUUACUCUCCUUCCAGGGACUCUUCAAGGAGUGCAGUCUUAUUGGAACCCUUUCAUGUGGAUAGGUCAGGCUACAAUCCUCUAGCCCAUGGCUACUCUAUGGGAAGGAGAAAGCCUGCCUUUUGGCUGGAAGUGAGUACCCUGGCGGGGAUGGUAAUAAGACCCAGAAACUUGAUGCCCUCUCUUUACUGCUGUCCUUAUACAAAGUCAUCUGUCUUGGGCAUGGGACAGCCACCUAAGUGACUAGCACGGCUGCCAAUCUUAAGACUCCUGUGUGAGGUUUCCUCCUGAUGGAUCUAAUGGGAUCCCCUCCACAUCCCUGGUCUAGCCACUUCUGGCCGUGGGACCUCCACUCGGAGCCAGCGGAAACCAGUACCCAAAUAUCACGUACAUUCCAUGGGGGGGCGUGUGGGGUGUCAGUUCCUGCUUUGUCCUCAGCUUGCCUUCUGCUCCCUCAUCAUUUGGUGCAAAAAGGUGGUUUAUUAAAGCAGGGGGACAGGACCCGUGGCAGAAAGAGCUGCACUGGGGUCAUGAAGAGUGGCCCAUUAUACACCCUCAAGUUGGGAGGGCGUUAGGGUUAGCGGAAGACUCUAAGCAAUUUUGGAAGCAAGGUUUCCAGGACCUUAAGAGGGCUAGCUGUUGUUGGGAAAAGGUCAUUUAUUACCAUCUAAUAAAACCUUAGUCAUGAGACUAAGAUACACCUCAGUUGUGUAUCACUGGGCCAUAUGCUUGGGGGAUGAAUGCCAACACAUAGUUUGGGUGGGGUCCAGCUGUCCUUUCUGGUGGCCCUGAGUUAACGGGGUCAACAUAGCCAUAUGGAAAUGGGAAGCUCCCCACUCCUAGUGAUGAUGGUGCUAUUGUCCCCACCAGUCAAACAACAUGAUUUCUGAGAGAAAUACGACACAAUAGCAGCUUCUUGACCUUCCUUAAGGUUUGAAAAUCAUCUUGUGAGUCAUCUUUUUAGAAAAAUGGUUUCAACAUGUGUUCUUUUUUCUAGAAAAGAAAUAGAGCCAAUGGUAAUUAUGGCUUCCUGAGCAUCUGCUCUUGGGAGACACCAUACUGGCUCUGUGUAGCAUUCUCCCUCUUAAACUUCUAAACUAGGAUGUAGAUAGAAUGAGUCCCAUUUUCUAGAUGGUUAGACAAGGGCUCAGAGACUAUAUGAAUUACAGAGGAUUUUAGUGUCAGAAACCUAAGUGGGAUCUCCAAACUGACUCCAAAUCCCUUGUUCUAACAUACAGGGUACCAUUUCCCUCUUACCUCUGGUCUUCUUGAUCUGGAAACCUAGGAAGUAUUAGGAUUUUGUUGUUGUGUGGCCAACUGGAACAAAUUCGGCUGCCCUUUGAACGUCUGCCCAUCAUGAUCAUGAAGAUAAUUAUCUCAGUGGAGGACCUUUGAGUAAGAGACUUAAAGAUACCUAGGAAUAGAGAUACUAUAAUAUUUUUCUGAUAUUAAAGUUACUGAAAGAACUAUCUGGUCUGUUUGGAAUGUGCUGUAAGGUUGGAGAUAGUAUUUAAAAACACUCAGCCUCUUCUAAGAGUGAGACAAUGCUUCUAAAAAUGGCUAAAAUAUUCCCUUACCUCCGAUUAUUUACUUCCCAACCAUCGUAGUGUUUCUGUUAGGAUUAUGAUUUCCAUGAGGCAAAAUUUGCAGAAAAAGCACUUUCGUGUUGUGACAGUGAGCUACUCUGUUGUAUUCUGUAGUCCAAGGGAAUGGUGCCGGCCGGACAUCUCUAAGAUGUCUGGCAGUUCUAAAAUUCUGACUGUAAAUGAUCUCUAUGCUUCAGAGAUUUGGGCAGGACAAGGGGAGGAGUCCAGAGACUGUGAAUGCCUCUGGUGCCUGUGUUGACCAUGGAGCAGGUAACCUUCUAUAGGGGUCCUUUUGAUUUCUUUAUACUAUGUGAAAGGUGCUUUUGUCUCAAGUUCCUCCGUUUGGUAGUGAUGAUAAGGAUAAGAGUAAUUUUUAUCUUAUACCAUCUAUGGGCCCUGAUCUUGGCCUCCCAGGGAAGCUAUCCUUUAACAUUUUACCCAGCUCAAAAUGACUGGGCAAAACCUCAAAGCAUGGGCCCUAUUUCUGCCCAUAGCACAUACUGUCCAUCUGCUUCAAAAAGAAAAAGAUAACCAAAAAAUGCCUUUGCCAACAUCAAGGUAAGAACACAAAAGACCCUCUCUGGCUCCCAUAAGAUUAAAGUCAUACUGACUUGUACAUACUGAAAACAUAAGAAAAAGUCUGUCACUUUCUGGAAUGUUCUUCCUCAUCCUGAUGUGUAACUCUGUAUGUAACACAAAACAGAAUAAAUAUAUAACCCUGCCCCAAAUGUUCCUUCCCUGGAGCACUCCCUUCUUUGUGAAGAUUGUGAGCUGUCCUGACUUGGGUUUGAAUAAAACUCUCUUCCUUUCUCUCUAAAAUGUUUUAAAAGGUUCAUUCAUGCAGUGUUGACAAUAACACUAUGUUUUCUUUUUAAGUGAAAAAUAAAUGUUCCUGGUUCACAACUGGAACAGCACAGAAGGGUGGCUGUUCUUCAUCCUGACCCCUUCCCUGCAGAACCAAGCAUGUGUAUAUAGAUUCCAGCACAAAUGGGCUCAUCCUAGAAGGAUGCUUUGAAGGUCUGAGAAGCACUAUCCACUCCAUGGGUGAGACAAGAAGGCAAAGCUAUUCCCUUUUGGAGCAUUCCUUUUUGGGCUUAAAAUUGCCUUGGAAAUGCCUGAAAGCAUUGCGUUUCCUAAAGCCCAAGGCUGGAACAGUCUGAGAGCAGCUGACCUUGCCAGGAACCAGGCACAUCACUGGAGGGGGGGUUGGUGCUUAAGGGAAGGGGCAGGGCUCUGAGGGUGGUCUGCAGCUAGAGGGGUCCACAGAAGGGACCGUGUGUGUGCGUGCGUGCGUGCGUGCGUGUGUGUGUGUUUGGGGCCCUGCCCACGAUCCCACUCACUCCUGCACAGGGCGUUGAGGCAAGGAGGCGACUCCUGGACCCCCUGUGCUCCCAGAGUUGCGGGUCAUGGGGGCGAGUUGCCCGGCAUUCAAGGGGCUGGAAGCACCACACUCCCCAACCAGUCACCGCGUGGGGGUGGAGCUACGUCUCUGUGGCAGACCGGAGCACCCCGAGGAUGCAGACCCGAAACCAAGGAAGGGGAGUUCUGAGAGAGUUGACCUGUGGAGUUCCUGGCUGAUCUCUUCUGCCCAGUCUCUGUCAACUGGCCGUCUGCCCCAGGCCCAGGAACUCCAGGGCGCCCACUCACCAGAGCUUUUGUGGGAUGGGUCGCAGACAUUCCAGGGUUUCCCAUGUUCCCCAGCAAAAGCAAGAGUAAGGACCGCACAGUCCCCAACUUCAGCGGGGUGCCCCCUGCCCCCCGACACAGUGCAGGUAAUGGAUCUUGAGCAGUACUGCGAGUUCAGCAGGGUGUUCCCCGUUCCCUCAGCCACAGGUGUGGCGGUAAGAAGCCCCAGAGCCAUUACCCAACUUCAGCAUUGUGCACUCUGUCUCCAGGGACAGUGGCAAUGGGCUGUGAAGAUGAUGACUACUAAAAGACAAGUCUGUGUUUUCCCUUCUCCCAGAAACCGCAGCAGGUGUGCAGGCUUUAGGUCCGAGGAGCUGCCUUCUCCCCGGCUGACAGCACUUCUCUGCUCUGGCUCCACGAGACCCGAGGUUUUGAACAUCUGCGUCUGAGUCAGUGAGGCAGCUUGACACAGGACACCAGCGUUCAGAGAAAGCGGGAUAUGGUAUGUUAUUGCACAAGGAGGCCUGAGAAGGCUGCAAUGAAAGAUUGAGAUCUCAGAGCACAUUCAUGUUCCAUGGAUACAUCACUUAACAGUUUGCACAGGUAGGAAGGUAAGUGGAGAGAAAUAUGACGGAAGGGGAAAGAAGGUGUGAACCAUUCAUUAGGUAGCCUUCUCCCUUUCUCAGGAAAGCCUUGGGCCAGUGUAAUUUUGGAAGAAGAGGGGGAAUCCUGGAGCAGCAGACCGGGGAGUUCCAGGUCUGGGUAGAGGUGACAGGGGUCCCAGAGGAGAUCUGACUGCAUUCUGCAGCAGGGUGUGGGCAGGGCGGGCUCCAGGGGUGUCUGUGAGUCUCCCAUGUGACAGUUGUGACAGGUGAGGGCUGCGAGCAGGUUCCUGGCUGAGGACAGGUGGGGCCCAGGUGGAGAGCUGGCCGAGCCCCUUCUUCAGGGCCACUGGCCUCACCAAACACACACAGCCUCAUCGUCUGUCCCUGUCACUCCGAUUCAGACUGUCAGAGUUGCCAGGCCAAGAUGUUUGGUCGUGCUUCUUUCCUUGCAUGCGUGUGAAGUUUCAAACCUGAGGUGAUGAACAUGACGGGUCCUCAGAACAUCUGUUACUCUUUUAUUUCCUGCUCUACUUUCGAUCAGUGAAGUGAAUCGGACCUGCUAGUGGAAGGGGUUAUCUGUGCGUUUUUAUUUCAUGGUUUAAUUAAACAAUGGGAAAAGUCUUCUGAAAUAUUAAAGGAAUCCUUUGUGGGUGUUCAUGUUUUUCUCUUCUGCGAGCCCCAUUCUGAUAUUAGAAAUUAUUUGUUAAAGUAAAACAGCCUCAGAGCUGUCACAGGGUUUGGGGCCUUUGUGAGAGGGAGAAAUGGAGAAGGGGUGUAGGUUCUUGAGGAGCUCGGGGAGUGCCACAUUGUGCUCCCCAAGGAAAUGGAGCCUCCUGUCAGCCUCCCCGGGGUGGGGGCGUGGGUGGGCGCUGCUUACCCGGAGGUCCAUCCUGGGCUCUGGAAGCUUGACCUGGUGAGUCACUUGCAACUUGAGCUGGGGAAUUGAUGAAGAAAACAGAAUGAAUGCUGGGGGUUUCCUGUAUCCUUUGGACUCAGACAACUCUGUGUAGCAAAGGAACUCUUCACCUGUGAGGCGUGUCGGGAUCCCUGAGGGUGUGGGGUUUGCUUCAUGGGCUGAGGUUGUGUCCUCAUCCUUAUCUGAACCAGAGCCAUGUUGUCUGGCUAUGGAGAUCCAGACCCUUAGGUGACCAUGUCAUCAUCAUCAUUAUCAUUAUUAUUAAUUAUCAUUAUUUUAAUAAAGCAAUAGAGACACUGACUUUGAGAUAAAAAUAUUGAACGACACAAGGUCAAAUUUAUACGUGAUAAUUGAACUCGUGGUAUCUCUCAUUGGUGUGGGUCUUGUAGGGCUGCCUGAAGGAGAAAGAUCAAGGAAUUCUAUGUGGAUGGAAGUGUGCUGUGCACAGGGAGUGUUUUAUUCCAUCAUUUGACAUCUCUCUCUGAAGGGAAAAUAGUGUGGUGUCUGGAGCUUGGUUUCUGAUUGGAAGGCCUGGGAGGCCAGUGAAUUGAAAGAGCAGUGUUCAUGCUGACAUGGUGCUCAGUGCCCAGUGAGCAAAGGUUGGAAGCUUGGACUCGGAAGCAUUGGUGUUCAGGGAGGAUGUUGUCCGAGUUUGCAGCACAUCGAGUCACUUGGCUGGUGUGCCUAAUCGGGCCAGUUUCUGCCUUUCUAAGGGCAGCUUGAGAGUGGCUUGCAACCCUAGGGCAUUUGUGGACCCCUGUGUGGGCCAGUGUAGACACAACCCAGGGUAUUCCAGAGCUAACGAUGAGCACGUUUGUGAGGCUGGAGUUUGCUUCUCUGUGAGAAGGACUGAGCUGGAGUGGAAAGAAGUCUCUGGGUCUUAGGACUCACUGAGUGGGUGCAAGCCUGGCAGAGUGGUCGGAUCAGAUGUCUGUUUCCUAGGACCUUGGCCAGAGGGAGAUUUGGACCCUGGAAGCAUCUCUGCUUAGCUUUCUCGGAUGAGCACCUCAGGCAAGGGGAGGAAGCGUGUGUGCUCACCUGUUAUAGAGGAAGGUGUCUGGUUUCAGGUUUCUUGUGCAGGUGGAUUCCUCAUAUGGUUCCCUUUCCUAAUGGUGUUCAGGAUGCAGGAGGUGGGUGGACCCCUUGUCCCGGGCAUCCUGGCUGUGGAAGAGUCCUGGGGCACCUUUCCCCCUGGGGAUUUGGAGCACGAAAUUGGGGGGGGGAGUUGGUGGCGAAGCCAUCAGUUUAUGCCUCAGUUUCUUCCUUGCUGAGAUGGACUGGAGAUUCUAAGUGCUAUGGAAAUAUAAAGCAGGAGACAGGGCUGGGGGUGCUGAAGGGGAGGUGGGGGUGGUGUUUGCUAUUCACAUAGGGGCCAGGUGGUACUUCACUAGGAGGGUGAUACUUGAGUCAAGAUCUAAAGAAGGUGAGUGAUAUCACAUCAAGAGCAUUCUAAACAGAAGGGCAAGCAUGUGCAAAGGCUGCGGGCAGGAGCAUACCAGGUGUACGCAGGAGCAGCAAGAAGGCCCUAUGCCCACAGGAGACAGCUUAGGACAUGACCUCAGGGAGGUGACAGUGUGACAGAAAGCCAUGACAGGGCUGUGAUCCCAUGGGACCUUGUUUCACUGGGCCAUCUUGGCUGCAGUGUUGAGAACAGAUGACAGAGGGUUGAGGAUGGGCAAGGGAGGUCAAUGAUGACACUUUUCUAGGAACUCAGGCAAGAGAUGGGCUCCAGUGUGGACCAGACAGGUGGCCUUGGAAGGAGUGGUUAGUCCUAUUCUGGGUACGUCUUGAAGAUGGAGCUCACAGGAUUUGCUGAUGGUUUAGAUAUCGGGGAUGGGAGAAAGGAGGAACUGGGGUAACUCCCAGCUGUUGUGGGUUGUCCUGAGCGAGGGGAAGGAGAAGGUUUCUGGGGGUAGGAGGUAGUCCAUGUUCUGCAUGCUGAGGAAGGUGCCUUUCCUGGUGGAUCUGCUGAUGUUUGUGUCCGGGAGAACUUUUCACAUCUACUCCCUCAGCAACGUUCAAGUACAAGUAUCCCCCACUUUUUAAAAGUUCAUGGUAACACACUUGGUGUUUUUGAAAGAUCUCUGUUAUUACCUGGUUCCUUUUUAGAAUAACUCUCUAAUGCAAUCAUCAUGAAAAUUUUGUUUUGAAACUUCAUAGUAACAUAGCAAAGGUGUAAAAGUGUUAGUACAGAAAGUGAGAUUUUUUGUGAUUUAGAGUACAUGGAGUAACUACAGAAAUAUAGUCUUACUAUCCGGUUUUGGGUUGUCAUUAACUAUAUCCUAAGAAAGUUUUAAAUAAGUCUUAGUGUAUGCAAGGAAAUAACAUA